CUUGCUCACACGGCAGCACUGUUAACUAAAGCUGUGAUUAAUCCUGACAAUAACCACAGGACAGAAGAAAUCAAGAUAACAGAAACAACUCAGAGUAGAGAAAGCACUAAAAUACAGAAAGAGAAGAAAGGGAAGUUAGAAGCACUGGGCAACAUUACCCCCUUUGCAUUUUAACUAUUAAUAUGGACAGCACUGGACUUUUGAAAACAAUAUCCUGCCUGAGCUACAUCUUCAGAAUGAAAAAGUCAAAAUAGUUUACAGGCUUAUCACUGCUGCCUUGUGCCAAAAAUCAAGGAUUAAAUACAGACUCAUUAAUAUUUGUGCAGUGGGAUAAUAUUUUGAGAUAUUAACCUAGAGUUUUCCCCCUGAUACUCACCUCUCUACCCUGUCCUCC
rnacentral:lncRNA from 1 species